UGUGGCUGAGAAAUAGGCAGUAAAUUGUAAAUUUACGAACGAAUUUAGAUUCCAUUAUCAGUUAA
rnacentral:tRNA from 1 species